GGCUGGUACAAAUGCAGUGCUGUUGAUAACUAACUGUUCACAACCAGUACAGAUUUCUUUGUUCCUUCUUGACUCCCACCGCUUCGACUGCUUUUAA
rnacentral:sRNA from 1 species